GCCAGUUUGGUCUAGUGGAUAAGGCACUGGGCUAGAAACCAGGAGACUGUGAGUUCUAGUCCUACUUUUGGCA
rnacentral:tRNA from 1 species